rnacentral:rRNA from 1 species
AUAUUGGGCAAUGGGCGCAAGCCUGACCCAGCAACGCCGCGUGAAGGAAGAAGGCUUUCGGGUUGUAAACUUCUUUUCUGAGGGACGAAGGAAGUGACGGUACCUCAGGAAUAAGCCACGGCUAACUACGUGCAAGCCGCCGCGGUAAUACGUAGGUGGAAAGCGUUAUCCGGAUUUAUUGGGUGUAAAGGGCGUGUAGGCGGGAAAGCAAGUCAGAUGUGAAAACUCAGGGCUCAACCCUGAGCCUGCAUUUGAAACUGUUUUUCUUGAGUGCUGGAGAGGCAAUCGGAAUUCCGUGUGUAGCGGUGAAAUGCGUAGAUAUACGGAGGAACACCAGUGGCGAAGGCGGAUUGCUGGACAGUAACUGACGCUGAGGCGCGAAAGCGUGGGGAGCAAACAG